UCCGAGUUGACCCCGGCAGUCUCCCAUGAGUCCCCGGCAUAACCCGCUGGCAACACAGGACAAGGGUUGCGCUCGUUGCGGGACUUAACCCAACAUCUCGCGACACGAGCUGACGACAACCAUGCACCACCUGUCACGCGCCCAAAAAGGACCCCGUAUCUCUACGAGUUUUCACAUGAUGUCAAACCCAGGUAAGGUUCUUCGGGUCGCAUCGAAUUAAGCCGCAUGCUCCGCCGCUUGUGCGGGGACCCGUCAAUUCCUUUGAGUUUUAGCCUUGCGGCCGUACUCCUCAGGCGGGGCACUUAAUGCGUUAGCUUCGGCACGGCAACCGUUGGUCGGGUCGCCACACCUAGUGCCCAACGUUUACAGCGUGGACUAC
rnacentral:misc_RNA from 1 species